rnacentral:lncRNA from 1 species
GAGCCACCGCGCCCAGCCAGUUUACUCUUAAUUCUCCACCACUUGCAUCUGAUUCCCUAUUUUAUCAUCCUAGUGUAGUGUAUAUUUGUGCCACCUAUUUAAAUCCUCUUGGGAAGGAGACGAGAAAUAAAUACCUACUUACUUAUAAAUACAUGAGGAUGUAUACGGUGUGGGUCAAGCAGAUCAGGGAAGAGAAGAUGUCAAGAGAGACCAAGAAGAGGGCAUUGGAGAAAAAGACAGAGUAGUAAAGAGAUGGGUCACAGAAGCCAAGAGGAGAGAGCAUUAGAAAGAGGGAGCAGCUGGCUGGCAGCAUGUCACAUGUUGCCAAGAGGUUAAAUUGGAUGAAGACUAAAAAAAGGCCUUGGGAUUGAGCGAUGAGAAGGUCACCAGGGACCAUAAGGAAACUUCAUUGCCCUAUUGCAUCAGACACAAAUGGGAGAUGAAGAAGUAGAGCCAGGAAGGACAAGCACACAAGUUCAAUAAAUUUGUAAGCAGGAAGAAAAAAGAACCGUGGAUUAACUGAGGGGAGGAGGCUUUUAUUUUCUUGUUUUGUCUUGUAGUUUUUAGGGAGUGGAUGCAAACACAGAUGGGAAGGUAAGCUUCAACAGGAUGCCAUCAGGAAGAAGCAUGAAGAAAGAGAUAAACCCCGAGGUGGAAUGAACCCUUUGGCAGUGGAGAUAUCCGACCAUGGAGAUGCUUCUGAAUGUCACCCACCAAGAAGCUGCGAGCUGGAUGCUCCACAGAUACGAUGUACAGAGCCUUCCCUGCUGGCCCUUUUCCUUCCACCUGGAGAUCAGCCUAGGUCCACAGAAUGACACUGGGGUGUCUCACAGCAUCAAAGGAAUAACUGAAGAAUUAAGCCUCAAGAAAGCAGGAACCAGGAAAUCUCCAGAGACCUCAAGUACAAGAACCAGGAACUGAAACACCAUUAGAACUAUCUCUUCACCUUUCUUCUGUCCUUUGUUCUGCAUGUUACCUUCACUUUCUCUUACUAAAGAAAGUUAAGAACAUGGUCUCUGGAACCAGUGCCUGAGAUUUGAAUCCUAGCUCUGCUCUUCCAACUGAAGGACCCUGAGCAAGUUACUUACCCUCUCUGUGCCUCAGUUUUUUUUAUGGAGAUAACACUAGUGCCUACUUUGUAUGAUUGCUUGAGGAAUAAAUGAUUUAAUACUUCUAAAGUACUUGGAAGAAUCCCUCCCACAUCCCCAGGCUCUGUCUUAUCUAAGAGAAGAGUUUGGACAACAAGAGUAC